UCCGGGUCCUUCUCCUCCUCCCCGCCUAACAUCUUACCCAUGUCUUUGGUGGCCCCUGGACAGAAAACAUAGAAAUACUGUGGUGAACAGGUUCACCCAGGAGCUUCAAGGUCCGUUGGAAACAAGACGGAAGAAGAACAGCCAGCUGGAAGAGCUUCAAAGAAACACUGAGACAGAGGAAGACACAUUCUUCCAUCUGCUGUGGCCAUCUGUUAUCUCUAUCUGUACCUCCGCAUUCUGCUACUAAACAUAAUUCAGACUGAACGUAAGUUUUCAAAGUUUCUGGGCACAGCGUGUGGUGAAAAAAUGAGACUUUAUUAUUAUGAAGGAGAUAGACUUUGGGCCUUUUUAUACUUACAAAUGAAAAUAUUGAUCAAUUAGAAAAAAAUCUGAAUGAAAUCAAAUCAAAUAUUUAACAUCAUUUAUCAAACAAAAAUGCUAACAACCUCUGAUUACAGAAUAAUUAGGUACACAUCCCAGUACAGGGUCGGAACCUUGCAUGCUUUUCAUUAAAAGUCUAAGGUUAACACUUACAAUAGUAGAGUGGUGUUAUCGGUGACGGUUACAGUCAGAUACAAUCAAUUCUCAGAAAUCUAAAAAACUAAAGCAAGCUGAGAAGUUCCCAGAGCAGUAAACAAUUUUUUUUUCUGAAAACAUUGAUUCAUUCAGAUUCAUUCAUUGGCAUUUUCUGUGUUACAAAUACAUUUUUUGGUUUAUAUCAUAAAGAGAUUAAAACUUAAACCACUGAAGGAA